rnacentral:rRNA from 1 species
GCAUCUGUGCAUGCAGCAUAUCAAUAGCGGAGGAAAAGAAACUAACAAGGAUUCCCCUAGUAACGGCGAGUGAAGCGGGAAGAGCUCAAAUUUGAAAUCUUAAAGGGUUUCCCUUUACGAAUUGUAGUUUAAAGAAGUGUUUUCUGUUGAGGUUUUGGUAAAAGUUCUUUGGAAUAGGACAUCAUAGAGGGUGAGAAUCCCGUAUUUGACCUUUACUUUCAACUUUGUGAUACACUUUCAAAGAGUCGGAUUGUUUGGGAAUGCAGUCCAAAAUGGGUGGUAAAUUUCAUCUAAAGCUAAAUAUUGGCGAGAGACCGAUAGGCGAACAAGUACCGUGAGGGAAAGAUGAAAAGAACUUUGAAAAGAGAGUUAAACAGUACGUGAAAUUGUCAAAAGGGAAGCGUUUGACACCAGUGUUGUUUUUCUGAAAAUCAAUUAAAGAACUGUUUAUGCUAAGUUGUUUAGACUUUAUCAGCUAUCUGCUUAGUUUUGAGCUUUUCUUUAAUGCACUUUUCAGUUAACAAGUCAACAUCAAUUUCUUUUGCUGUAAAAAAGCUUGAGGAAGGUGGCUUGAGAUUCGUCUUAAGUGUUUAUAGCCUCUUGCCUAUGCAGUCGGAGAGAUUGAGGUCUGCAGCGUAGAUCCUUCGGGGCUAAAUGCAUUUGUGCUAAGUUAUAGCAUUUUAUAGACAACUUGUUGACUAUGAUUUGUCUUGUAGCUUACUCGCUUAUGUUAUUUUACCUACGCUUAGGAUGUUGAGUCAUCACACAUCUCU